GAUUUUGCCUUCUUUUCUUUAUGUGUGGUGUAUUCACAUGUAUAUCUUUGGGGGAGUGGAGGGCACAGAACUUGAGGGCAAAAGGGUGAAAAGGUGCAGCAGUGGAGCUCACUGGGCACUGAUGAAAGUGAACUGUGCAACUCGUGGGUGGAGACGGGAGGGAGGGACAGGGAGAGGAGGAGGGAACAGAAGACACUAAAAGAGUAAUUACA